GAUGAACGCUGGCGGCGUGCCUAAUACAUGCAAGUCGAGCGAACGGACGAGAAGCUUGCUUCUCUGAUGUUAGCGGCGGACGGGUGAGUAGCACGUGGAUAACCUACCUAUAAGACUGGGAUAACUUCGGGAAACCGGAGCUAAUACCGGAUAAUAUUUUGAACCGCAUGGUUCAAAAGUGAAAGACGGUCUUGCUGUCACUUAUAGAUGGAUCCGCGCUGCAUUAGCUAGUUGGUAAGGUAACGGCUUACCAAGGCAACGAUGCAUAGCCGACCUGAGAGGCUGAUCGACCACACUGGAACUGAGACACGGUCCAGACUCCUACGGGAGGCAGCAGUAGGGAAUCUUCCGCAAUGGGCGAAAGCCUGACGGAGCAACGCCGCGUGAGUGAUGAAGGUCUUCGGAUCGUAAAACUCUGUUAUUAGGGAAGAACAUAUGUGUAAGUAACUGUGCACAUCUUGACGGUACCUAAUCAGAAAGCCACGGCUAACUACGUG
rnacentral:rRNA from 1 species